UACUUCAUAUGUAUUGCAAUAAGAUAAGUUCCGUAGCCCCUUUGAGGGAUAAUACAGGCUCUCCAAUUCAACUCCUAUCCGAAAACGUCCUAGUUCGUACAAAGAUUCGUCACCGCUUUUCUUGUUGACCUGUUCUAACCCCUUGGGAGGUUGGCGCAAGGCUAAUCAGGAGAGU
rnacentral:ribozyme from 1 species